rnacentral:lncRNA from 1 species
GAAAAGGAUUAAUUUUGAUCAGAAACAUAAGCCAUGUUCAAUAAGGAUGGGAUCGUAAAUCAUUAUUCCAAGUAAAAAUAUGAUAAGAUUGUAAAAUUUAAGCAAAAUAGGAGAAGGUGAAAAAAUAUAUUACAGAAUUAACCAGAAAUUCUCCAUUCACUCUCUUGGGAAUGGCCUUACAGCUGCAUUUAUAUUCCAUGAUAAUUUAAUUACUGAAAAAUGUACCUUUGGAAUAAAUUGACAACUAAAUUAACUGUAACCUUCACACCAGGUCUGAUAUCAUGUAAAAAUAUAAUAACAAUUAUAUCUAUUGUCACUCUAUGAUACUGUUGUAACAGAGUAAUAAUAGAAAACUUUUUUUUUAUUUCAUCUUGAGAUCAACCACACUUUAUUAUUAUUAUUUUUUGGGCUUUUAACAUUCUGUAUAGAUAAUAUGGUAAGUAGAUACCCCACUGUAAUCGCUAGGACAUGAAAUGUGGAAGAAAUAUAAUUAAGCUGUAGGCUGAAUAAUCCUUUUCCUGCCUUUUUCAACUCAUGACUCAUCUCUUUAUUAAGUGUCCUCUAAAGAUUGAAAAAGGUAGCUGCCAAUUUUUUCAGUUAUUUUCUCUUUUCCAUUCCUUAAAAACUAGCUAGAUGUCAUUUUAGAAUCAUUUAUGACUUCCAAAUAUACUAUAACAAGUCCCUAAUUUUGACUAUAAAGUUAGAGUGGAAGUUGGAAAUAGAAAAUUAGAAAUGCUGGAUGCAGACCUGUGCAACUCAACCUACCCUCUGGUACAGAUAACCUAAACUGCACAAAUAAUGCAUUAAAUAAUUAUCUAAACCGAGACCAAGAUAUACUCAAACUAAACCUCAGAAAAUUCUUGAUCAGAAACGGAGGGAGAAAUCUUGGAAGGAUCAGUGGUUGCUGGGCAGGUUAGCUAACAAAUGGAAACUUGUCUCUAGUAUGCAAAAGUCUUUUUCCUUCAUUUCUAGUAGACAUUAGAAUGCAUUUUAACUUAAUGCUUUCAUAAUCAUAUGAAAUUAUGAUGCUCCGCACAUUGAGUGGCCCUUCUAGUGCUGACAGCUUAUUUUUUAUUAAUAAUGUAUAAGAUGAUUAACCAAAGCAAUUUCCAGAGACAAAGAAGAUUUAUUUUUCUUGCAUCAUGCCAUGUCAUUUGACAUUACCCACAUUACUAUUAUGCUGCUCUAUUAAGAAGGUCUCACUGGUCAACUAGACAAAAAAGUCUGUUCUGUUGUUUGUUUCAUAAAUAAAUU